rnacentral:rRNA from 1 species
UGCAGUCGAGCGGACCGACGGGAGCUUGCUCCCUUAGGUCAGCGGCGGACGGGUGAGUAACACGUGGGUAACCUGCCUGUAAGACUGGGAUAACUCCGGGAAACCGGGGCUAAUACCGGAUGCUUGAUUGAACCGCAUGGUUCAAUCAUAAAAGGUGGCUUUUAGCUACCACUUACAGAUGGACCCGCGGCGCAUUAGCUAGUUGGUGAGGUAACGGCUCCCCAAGGCGACGAUGCGUAACCGACCUGAGAGGGUGAUCGGCCACACUGGGACUGAAACACGGCCCAGACUCCUACGGGAGGCAGCAGUAGGGAAUCUUCCGCAAUGGACGAAAGUCUGACGGAACAACGCCGCGUGAGUGAUGAAGGUUUUCGGAUCGUAAAACUCUGUUGUUAGGGAAGAACAAGUACCGUUCGAAUAGGGCGGUACCUUGACGGUACCUAACCAGAAAGCCACGGCUAACUACGUGCCAGCAGCCGCGGUAAUACGUAGGUGGCAAGCGUUGUCCGGAAUUAUUGGGCGUAAAGCGCGCGCAGGCGGUUUCUUAAGUCUGAUGUGAAAGCCCCCGGCUCAACCGGGGAGGGUCAUUGGAAACUGGGGAACUUGAGUGCAGAAGAGGAGAGUGGAAUUCCACGUGUAGCGGUGAAAUGCGUAGAGAUGUGGAGGAACACCAGUGGCGAAGGCGACUCUCUGGUCUGUAACUGACGCUGACGCGCGAAAGCGUGGGGAGCGAACAGGAUUAGAUACCCUGC